AGCGAACGCUGGUGGUAGGCCUAACACAUGCAAGUCGAACGGCAGCACAGGAGAGCUUGCUCUCUGGGUGGCGAGUGGCGGACGGGUGAGGAAUACAUCGGAAUCUACCUUUUCGUGGGGGAUAACGUAGGGAAACUUACGCUAAUACCGCAUACGACCUACGGGUGAAAGUGGGGGACCGCAAGGCCUCACGCGAUUAGAUGAGCCGAUGGCCGAGUUAGCUAGUUGGGGGGGUAAUGGCCCACCAAGGCGAGGAUCGGUAGUUGGUCUGAGGGGAUGAUCAGCCACACUGGAACUGAGACACGGUCCAGACUCCUACGGGAGGCAGCAGUGGGGAAUAUUGGACAAUGGGCGCAAGCCUGAUCCAGCCAUACCGCGUGGGUGAAGAAGGCCUUCGGGUUGUAAAGCCCUUUUGUUGGGAAAGAAAUCCUGUCGAUUAAUACUCGGUGGGGAUGACGGUACCCAAAGAAUAAGCACCGGCUAACUUCGUGCCAGCAGCCGCCGCCGUAA
rnacentral:rRNA from 1 species